rnacentral:rRNA from 1 species
AUAGGUUAUAAGCGAAUGGCGGAUGCCUUGGGAUAUUAAUGCGAUGAAAGACGUGGCGUGCCUGCGAUAAGCUUCGGGGAGGUGGCUAGCAACCUUUGAUCCGGAGAUUUCUGAAUGAGGAAACUCUAUUGUGUUAAUCCACAAUAACUCUAAACAUUAGUUUAGAGAGCGCACCCGGCGAAGUGAAACAUCUCAGUAGCCGGAGGAACAGAAAAAGAUGAAAAUUUAAAAUUAUUACUCUGGUCGUAUUUAGCGAUCUUUAUGCGAGCAGUAAUUUUGAAUUUUCGCAUUCCCUUAGUAGUGGCGAGCGAACAGGGAACAGCCCAAACCAAAUUUUUAAAUUUGGGGUUGUAAGGUUACGACGUCGGGAGCACUUCAUUGAACAGAUCUUGCUGUUUAAUGAAGCGUUUGCCGAGGGAGAACAUUUAGAUAAAGGUUUUAAUAGAAGCACCCUGGAAAGGGGCGCCAUAGAGGGUAAUAGCCCCGUAUGUGAAAAAACUCUUUAUGCUCCUUGUCGUUUUUCUUGAGUACUGUAAGGCAUGACAACCUUGCAGGAAGCAGGCCGAACUAUCGGCCAAGGCUAAAUAAUUAAUAUCACCAAUAGUGAACCAGUACCGUGAGGGAAAGGUGAAAAGUAGGGGGUUGACCCCGGUGAAAUAGUACCUGAAACCAUUUGCUUACAAAGAGUCGGAGCCCGCAAGGGUGACGGCGUGCUUUUUGCAGAACGAGCCAACGAGUCUGAAUAUUUUGUUGUCUAAGCCCCUCCGGGGCGCAGGCAUAGCGAAAGCGAGUGUUAAAAGCGCGACCAAAACAAAAUGUUCAGGACCCGAAGCGUGACGAGCUUACCAUGAGCAGGUUGAACCCCGCAGAAAUGCGGGGGGAGGACCGAACCAGUGAGUCGUGCAAUUCUCUUGGAUGACUUGUGGUAAGGAGUGAAAAGCUAAUCGAGUUACGUAAUAGCUGGUUCUUCCCGAAACAGCUUUAGGGCUGGCGUCUAGAGCCAAAAUAUGGGGGUAGAGCACUGAAUGGAAUUCCGUGGAGUUCCUCCAGGUUUUCCAAUCAAACUCCGAAUACCAUAUUUUUUGUCUAGGCAGUUAGAACGCGGGGGCUAAGCUCCGCGCUCAAAACGGAAACAGCCGUUGAUCGCAGUCUAAGGUCCCUAAAUGAGGCUAAGUGUUAUGAAGGAAGUGUUUUGCCCUCGACAGGCAGGAAGUUAGCUUAGAGGUAGCUAUCUUUUAAAGAGUGUGUAACAACUCACUGCCCGAGGAUUGGAGAUUUCUCCUUUCUAAGGCAAAAUGCGCCAAAGAUUUAGCGGGACUAAAGUCUCAUACCGAAGACGCGGAUUCUAUAAUUUAUUUUAUAGAGUGGUAGGGAAGCAUUCCAAUCUGCUGCGAAGGCGAAGGGUAACCGACGCUGGAGCGUUUGGAAGAGAGAAUGUUGGCCUGAGUAACCGCAUUGCGCGUGAAAGCCGCGCACACCGAAAGUCCAAGGUUUCCUUGGCAAUGGUAUUCAACCAAGGGUUAGUCGGUCCUAAGGCGAAGCCGAAAGGUGUAGUUGAUGGACAGCCGGUUAAUAUUCCGGCACUUGGAUAUAAUUUUAACAGUAAGACGAAGCACAGUAGUUUUCACGGAUUAUUGGAUUUCACGUUUUUGCACUAAGGUAAAUCAAGGUGCGAAUGCAGGCGGAUUCGUCCGCCAAUGAAAAUGAGCGCGCUUCCAAGAAAAAAACUGUUAAGCUAAUUAUAUUCAAACCGUACCGCAAACCGACACAGGUGGACAAGCGUAAGUAUGCUAAGGUGAACGGGUGAAACCUCGUUAAGGAACUCGGCAAAUCAGUGGCCGUAAGUUCGCAAUAUGGCCUGCCCUGCGCAAGCGGGGCCGCAGCAAACGUACUUCAACCGACUGUUUAUCAAAAACACAGCUCCCUGCUAACUCGUAAGAGGAUGUAUAGGGGGUGAGGCCUGACCAGUGUUGGAAUGUUAAGUUUGGGGGUGAUAAAUCGCAAGGUUUAUUGCUCACUGAAUGAAGCACCAAUGAACGUCGGCGAUAACUAUAAUCGUCCAAAGGUAGCGUAAUCCCUUGCCGGGUAAGUUCCGGCCCGCAUGAAUGGCUUAACGAGUUGAAGACUGUCUCAACGAGGCGCCCGGUGAAAAUGCAAUAGCAGUGAAGAUGCUGCUUACCUGCGGCUAGACGGAAAGACCCCGGAAGCUUUACUGUUCGUAGAUAUUGUGUAUUGGUUUCUGAUGCGUAGCGUAGUGGGGAGCUUUGAAACCGCGUUUUCGGAUGCGGUGGAUGCGCCAAUGAAACACCCAUCUUUAGAAAUUAAUACUCUAAUCCUCUUAACUGAGGUGACAGUGUUUACUAGACAGUUUAAGUGGGGCACUUGCCUCCUAAAAAGUAAUGGAGGCGUUUAAAGGUUGGUUAGGUUCGGAUGGAAAUCGAACCGAUAGGGCAAACCCAUAAACCAGCUUUACUGCAAGACGGAUAUGUCGCGCAGUUGCGAAAGCAGAAGUUAGUGAACCGACUUGUUUUCAUAGAAAACAAGAAGAUCAUCAGCCAAAAGCUACUCCGGGGAUAACAGGCUAGUAGAGCCCGAGCGUCCAUAGCGACGGCUCUGUUCGGCACCUCGAUGUCGGCUCAACUUAUCCUGGGGCUGGAGCAGGUCCCAAGGGUUCGGCUGUUCGCCGAUUAAAAAGUUACGUGAGCUGGGUUCAAACCGUCGUGAGACAGGUUGGUCCCUAUCUACCGCAGGCGUCGAGUUUUGAGGGGAUUUAUUCCUAGUACGAGAGGACCGGAAUGAGCCGACCUCUGGUGUACCAGUUGUACCGCCAGGUGCAUUGCUGGGUAGCUAAGUCGGAUAUAGAUAAGCGCUGAAAGCAUAUAAGCGCGAAACUGACCCCAAGAUGAAAACUCUUAGAUUCCCGGAAGAUGACCGGGUUGAUAGGCUCCAGGUGCAAGUGUUGCAAGACAUUCAGCCGGGGAGUACUAAUAAAUCGUUC